rnacentral:tRNA from 1 species
GUCUGGCUGGCUGGGUCAGUACAGCAUCUGACUCUUGAUCUCAGGGCUGUGAGUUCAAGCCUCAUGUUGCACA